GCCUUCGUGGUGUAGUGGUCAGCAUGCUCGGCCUGUAAUCGAGAGGUCGUUGGUUCGAGUCCCGUCGAGGGCA
rnacentral:tRNA from 1 species